rnacentral:lncRNA from 1 species
ACGGUUAGACUCUAGGAUGUGGGCUAAAGGAUUCAGAGCUGACAUAGUUAAACUGUGAAGAGUAAAGAUUCUAGUUAGACAUUUGUACUUAAUUUUGUAUUUAUUCUAGAGAUUUUAAGAAACAAAUAGGCUCUCACUAUUUUCUCAGAUCUCUCAUACUUUUCGAGUAGAGAAACAAAAACCCUAACAUGACAUAGAUUUCUAGUGGAUACUACGAUCCCACUGAUGUAUGUGCACCUCAUCUGAUAGAUAUUGGU